rnacentral:tmRNA from 1 species
GGGGGUGACCGGUUUCGACUUCGACAUUUCAAGGCAGGGGAAGCGGGCCGAGGACGGCGGACAUAACCUCGUUAACACUGUGACCGCAAACCAAUAAGUGCCGAUAACACGAGCACUCCGGCUAGCCAGCGUACGCUGGCUCUCGCUGCCUAAGCAGCCGAGCUAAGCCGUGUCAGCCCGGGACCGCCUCCGGCCCGGGACCUGGCAUCGCUAGGAGGCUAAACCUCUUGACCCGGUCGCGGGGCCAAUAGGGAAACCAAACAGCGACUGAGCCCGUCGGCGACUCGCCUGUGAGAUCGCCGGGGCUGAGAAACUCACAACAGGCUGCGCCCGGAGAAGCCCUGGCUCGGUGCCGAAGGACGCGGGUUCGAUUCCCGCCACCUCCAC